UCCUAAGGGGGCUGGUGCCGCAUGAGGGGCAUGUGGUACCUAGAGGAGGGGAAAAGGGGGCUCGAAAGGCGUCUUAAAGGCUUCCACGGUGAUUUGCUCCCCCUGACAUGGGUCUUGUUUUCCCAUGGUGGCUCAUACAGAGGAGCAGGGCGGGUGUGUGGUGGGGCUGGGGGCUCAGGCACGUUGGAGGUGGGUCCACCGCGCACACCCAGCUCUGCCCUGGUGUGCCCCGCACUGGUGCGGGCAGCCGUGGCAUGCUGCCGGGCAAUAACACAUCCGAUUUUCUCCCCUGAAACAAUGGUCCCUGCCAUGUCUGAGCCAUUCCUCACUUGAACUCCUGCAGAACAAAACACACCUACUUCCCACUUGGGGACGCAGCUGCUCAGGGAGUAGCAAAGCCCGAAAACCUGAGACACAACAGGCAAAAAAACAGAGAGAUUCUCCUGGAGAUACUAUAAGCAAAGGAUGAGCGGGCUUGACCCUCCUGUUAACGGGUUAAGGGAAACCAGUGCAUGAAUGGGAGCUGGAGCGCGGUGGGGGAACAGCGUUCUGGAAAGCAGCGGCAGCAUUCAGCCUCGGUGGCUGCAUAUCCUGGUUGCCGACAACAGCCGCUACCCCCUCUCAGGCCGGCAGGGACAUGUCGGGAGCUGCGGCAGCAUCGCACGUGUUUCCUGUGCUGCUCUGAUUAGGGGAACUGGCUGGAGCAGUGUGUGCGCACCCAAAGGAAAGCAGGGAGACAGGGGCAGCGCUUCCUCAGUGACCGAGUCGUGCUGUCUUGCACACAGUCAUCCCCUGGGGGCUGCUGCCCACAGCAAGUUUGGGCCCCGGAACUAGGCUGUCUAAGGUGCAAAGGGCCCAGCAAGGCGCAGCUGGAGGGAUGAGGACCAUGGGGAUGCAGGAGGAGAGAAUUCAGGUGACCAGCCCUUGAGCUCAAGUGACCCUGUAGACAGGAUGCUCCGAAGGGCUUUUGCUCUCAUAACCACUCGGAGAAGGGGACUGCACUCCACGAGUGUUUAUUAACUCUCUGGCGACUGGAAAGCUCCUCCUGGGCAGCCAAAGCCUCAUGGCACCGUGAAGGAUCAGGGCUCCCCUCUGCCCCCACCAUGCUCCCAGAAAGCCCC
rnacentral:lncRNA from 1 species